rnacentral:lncRNA from 1 species
GCACGGAAAGGAAGGCUGCGGGCGAGUGGGGCGGGGGGAAGAGGACGGGGAAAGGAAGAGGACGGGGAAAGCCAUGUGAGUCACCUGACGGCGAGGCGCGAGCUUUUCUUCCGCGCUCUUGGUUGGGUGGGGGGUUAGGGGUGGAUCCAAAGAGAGGCGAGCCGGAGAACAUGAUUGGACAAAGCCAGCACGUGGAGGACGGGGCAGAAAUCGGUGCGGUGUUUUGCAGCUCUUAAGAGGCGCGAGUGGGUUUGGCGUUCAGAAAAUUAAUGUUCUGUAAUUAUCUUAUUUGAGUCUCAAUGAAAAGAUGGCACUGAAACUACUGGGAUUCCUGGCUAGAUCUUCAUAUACAAUAAGCCAGUGCCGAUACAUCCCUACUUAUGGAUAUUUAGCAUCAAGCAACAACUUGCUAUCAGUAAAUAGAUAUCUCAGGCGAUGCAUCCCAGAGGCAACUUCUAAUUUUACUAGCAAUUGCAUGGACAAUUCAAACUGGUUUAGUCCACAAACUACUAUUGGUGCUACAGCAAAAAGAAUUAAUUACUUGACUAUGGAUGCUUGUCCUUCAUCCAGAGAACUUCAUCCUCUUAAAGCUUCAAUUUUUAAACAGAAGUUAAAACAUAUAAGGAUACUUACACCAAAUAGACAUUAUUCAGUUUUAUCGCCUAGUAAAGUUCAACCAAAUCAAGAUAUUGUACCAGUUAAGCGUCUACCAAAAGCGUCGAGGACCAAGCAGCCAUCAAGAAUUAAUCUGCCAUUACCAUCUGAAGCUCAGAUGCAGCAAAUGUUUUGGUGGUUGGCACAGAAAGGACAGCCAAAGAUCAUGAUUUGGGGAUCAUAUUUUUCUUCAAGGAAGGGUCUGUUGUGUUUUGGAAUGUUGAAGAAAAAACAAUAAAGAAUAUUUUUCAAAAGCUGGAAAAACAUGAGAUCCAGCCUUAUGAAAUUGCAUUAGUUCACUGGGAAAAUGAAGAGAUCAGCUAUAGAAGAGGAGAGUAAGUAUACGAAUGUCAUA